UGGGCUGGUUUCCCACCCGUCAUCUCUGAGGGUGAUUGGGAUCUCUACAAAUAUGAGACACAGGGACUGGCCUGGUUCUGUAGGGAAGGUUCUGCAGCUGGUGGGACGGAAGCUUCUGCCCAAGUCUCUGGGCCUGGGCUGCUCUGCAGAGGCUGGGCAUGGAGCAGGGGGAGGAGCCAGGGUGAGCACAGGGAGGGCCUUGGGGCAGGGAGGAGACAGGAGAUGAGGAAGCAAUGAUGGUUCUGGGGAGUGGAGGGGAAGCCCCAGUAGAGGGAGGAGGAGCCUGGAGAUGCUGCUGGGAAGGACUGGACCAGACUUCCAUCCCUCUAACCUCUGCCCAGCCCAAGCAGCAGCCUGCAAUGAAUGUUUGUGCUGAGGACCGAGACCAGCUGUGUCAAUGUUAACUGCUGGUUCCAGGAUACUCUUUCCCAGGUGGAUGAGGGUGAAAACAAUAAAGAAUGUCACUCAUUGCUUCAGGGAAUUCCUGAAAACCAAUUAUCCAGGUGAUCCUGGCCCUCUGUCCCAAAGCCACAGACGCUGCAGGCAACUGAGUCCGCUCAGAGGAGGCCACUGAGCCUACAAGAUAGGACAGGAGAGAUUGAGCUAUAAAACCAUGACAAGUGCAUGGAGCAGCUAUUUGAGCACCAGGAAAGGAAAUGGUACGCAGCAGUUUGGGAUGGCCCCAGCAGAUGAAAUACAACAGAGUCAGUGUGAGACUGCUGGAUUUCCUCACUGUCCCCUGGCUGGGACUCCAGACAGCCCCAAACCUGAAGGGGCACAAACCUGAAAACAAAAAGAAGUCCAGAAAGCCCUCUUGUUCAGGAUCGAACUUGGGAAAGAAAACUUAUUUGGCUCAAAGUGAAGGCUCAGUCCCCUGCACAAGCAGGUGGUUCACACCUGUGUUCUCAUCUCUCUUAUACCAGCGCCUCUCCCUGGGUUCACACUGAUGUCCUAUGGAUGGAGACGGGGCUUCCUGCACCAGGUCACUCCACAGCCCCUGUAACCUGAAGCCCUGCAGACCAGCCUUGUUCAAUCACAAUGUGAUGUGAGCCUCAUGGGAAUCCCACUGUCUAGUCAUCAUGUUAUAAAUACAAAGAGAAGAAGUCAAUGAGUUUAAAUAAUGUAUUUUAUUUACCUAGCAUAUCAAAAAGAGUAUCAUUUUCAUAUAUAAUCUAAGUACAAUUAUUUAUGAUAUAUAUCAUAUACUUUGCAUGGCUAUUGUUAUUAUUUUUUGAAGAAUCUUUAUGUGGAGA
rnacentral:lncRNA from 1 species